rnacentral:rRNA from 1 species
CUAAGAAUAUUCCGCAAUGGACGGAAGUCUGACGGAGCGACGCCGCGUGGAUGACGAAGGCCGAAAGGUUGUAAAGUUCUUUUGCUGGGGAAGAAUAACCGCAGGAGGGAAAUGCCUGUGGGAUGACAAGAACCGGCGAAUAAGCCCCGGCAACUACGUGCCAGCAGCCGCGGUAACACGUAGGGGGCGAGCGUUGUUCGGAAUUACUGGGCGUAAAGGGCAUGUAGGCGGCUUGGAAAGCCUGGCGUGAAAGUCUGCAGCUUAACUGCAGGGGUGCGCUGGGAACUGCUGAGCUUGAGUGACGGAGAGGGAGCUGGAAUUCCUGGUGUAGGGGUGAAAUCUGUAGAUAUCAGGAAGAACACCGAUGGCGAAGGCAAGCUCCUGGCCGAUGACUGACGCUGAGGUGCGAAAGUGUGGGGAUCAAACAGGAUUAGAUACCCUGGUAGUCCACACAGUCAACGAUGUGCACUAGGUGCUGGGGCGGUAGCUUCGGUGCCGGAGCGAACGUGGUGAAGUGCACCGCCUGGGAAGUAUGCUCGCAAGGGUG